rnacentral:rRNA from 1 species
UACGAAGAGGGCUAGCGUUGCUCGGAAUCACUGGGCGUAAAGCGCACGUAGGCGGUUUGUUAAGUCGGGUGUGAAAUCCUGGAGCUCAACUCCAGAACUGCCUUCGAUACUGGCGAUCUUGAGUCCGGGAGAGGUGAGUGGAACUCCGAGUGUAGAGGUGAAAUUCGUAGAUAUUCGGAAGAACACCAGUGGCGAAGGCGGCUCACUGGCCCGGGACUGACGCUGAGGUGCGAAAGCGUGGGGAGCAAACAGG